UGAGGAAUAUUGGUCAAUGGGCGAGAGCCUGAACCAGCCAAGUAGCGUGCAGGAUGACGGCCCUAUGGGUUGUAAACUGCUUUUAUAUGGGAAUAAAGUGAGGGACGUGUCCCUUAUUGCAUGUACCAUACGAAUAAGGACCGGCUAAUUCCGUGCCAGCAGCCGCGGUAAUACGGAAGGUCCAGGCGUUAUCCGGAUUUAUUGGGUUUAAAGGGAGCGUAGGCUGUUUGUUAAGCGUGUUGUGAAAUGUAAGAGCUCAACCGGUGGCUUGCAGCGCGAACUGGUCGACUUGAGUAUGCAGGAAGUAGGCGGAAUUCAUGGUGUAGCGGUGAAAUGCUUAGAUAUCAUGACGAACUCCGAUUGCGCAGGCAGCUUACUGUAGCAUAACUGACGCUGAUGCUCGAAAGUGCGGGUAUCAAACAGG
rnacentral:rRNA from 1 species